rnacentral:tRNA from 1 species
GCCCAGGUGGCGGAAUUGGUAGACGCGUUGGUCUCAAACACCAAUGGGGUAAUUCCCGUACCGGUUCGACUCCGGUCCUGGGCA